CGCGGUAAUUUGACCGUGCAAAGGUAGCAUAAUCAUUAGUUUUUUAAUUGAAAGCUUGUAUGAAAGGUUGAAUGAAAAAUAAACUGUCUUAUUGAUAAAAAUUGAAUUUAACUUUUAAGUGAAAAGGCUUAAAUAUUAGAAAGGGACGAUAAGACCCUAUAAAACUUUAUAUAAAUUAGAUUUUUUAUUAUAAUUGUUUGUUUAGUAAGAAAUAAUUUAUUAGUAUUUUAUUGGGGCGAUAGGAAUAUAUAAGUAACUGUUCUUUUUAAUAACAAAUAUUGUUGAUUGGAAAGAUCCUUAAUAGAGAUUAUAAGACAAAGUUACUUUAGGGAUAACAGCGUAAUUUUUUUUAAGAGUUCAUAUCGACAAAAAAGAUUGCGACCUCGA
rnacentral:rRNA from 1 species